rnacentral:rRNA from 1 species
UACGGAGGAGGCAAGCGUUAUCCGGAAUUAUUGGGCGUAAAGCGUCCGCAGGUGGCACCUCAAGUCUGCUGUCAAAGACCGGGGCUUAACCCCAGAAAGGCAGUGGAAACUGAAGUGCUAGAGUGCAGUAGGGGUAGAGGGAAUUCCCGGUGUAGCGGUGAAAUGCGUAGAGAUCGGGAAGAACAUCGGUGGCGAAGGCGGCAUCCUGGACCGAGAUUGACGCUGAGGCGCGAAAGCCAGGGGAGCAAAGCGGG